AGUGCUUGCAGAAGAUACAUCAAAUAUUGAUAUGUCUUCUGAUGGAUUACGUGAACAAAACAAAAAAAGACGACGUAUUAAAGCAAAAAAAUAACUGUCACAUCGUCUUCAGAGGAAGAUGUAUGUUCAAACGAGGAUGAAGACAAUGAUGUGAGGUCAAAUAAAAUCCUGCCUGAUUAUCCACAAAUUGGAAACUUUGUAUCAUCUCACAAACAGCAUAUUGAUAAAUCACAUAAUUCUACAAGUUCAUUAAGCAAAAAAACUUCUUAUGUAUUGAGCAGUAAUGUUGAAAAUAUUAACACUCAAAUUUCCAAAAAUAACAAAGAAAGAAAUUUUACACUAAAUCUUAAUGGCGAUAGCGACACUGAAAAUAUUUAUACGCGAGAAUAUAAGAAGUUAGUAUUAGGAAAACUGAAUAAAAUUAUAUAUAAAAUUAAUACUCUUGAAAAUAAAAUCGAUAUAUUGGAGGGAAAAAUGCAAUCAGCCAAUUCUUUUAAUGAAGAAAAUAAUAUUCAAUUGCC